rnacentral:RNase_P_RNA from 1 species
GAAGCUGACCAGACAGUCGCUGCUUCGUCGUCGUCCUUUCGGGGAGACGGGCGGAGGGGAGGAAAGUCCGGGCUCCAUAGGGCAGGGUGCCAGGUAACGCCUGGGGGGGAAACCCACGACCAGUGCAACAGAGAGCAAACCGCCGAUGGCCCACGUAAGUGGGAUCAGGCAAGGGUGAAAGGGUGCGGUAAGAGCGCACCGCGCGGCUGGUAACAGUCCGUGGCACGGUAAACUCCACCCGGAGCAAGGCCAAAUAGGGGUUCAUAAGGUACGGCCCGUACUGAACCCGGGUAGGCUGCUUGAGCCAGUGAGCGAUUGCUGGCCUAGAUGAAUGACUGUCCACGACAGAACCCGGCUUAUCGGUCAGUUUCACCU